AAGAGAUGUUACUUUUUUUAACAAUUC
rnacentral:sRNA from 1 species